GGACCCGCACAAGCGGCGGAGCAUGCGGAUUAAUUCGAUGCAACGCGAAGAACCUUACCAAGGCUUGACAUAUACGAGAACGGGCCAGAAAUGGUCAACUCUUUGGACACUCGUAAACAGGUGGUGCAUGGUUGUCGUCAGCUCGUGUCGUGAGAUGUUGGGUUAAGUCCCGCAACGAGCGCAACCCUCGUUCUAUGUUGCCAGCACGUAAUGGUGGGAACUCAUGGGAUACUGCCGGGGUCAACUCGGAGGAAGGUGGGGAUGACGUCAAAUCAUCAUGCCCCUUAUGUCUUGGGCUUCACGCAUGCUACAAUGGCCGGUACAAAGGGCUGCAAUACCGUAAGGUGGAGCGAAUCCCAAAAAGCCGGUCCCAGUUCGGAUUGAGGUCUGCAACUCGACCUCAUGAAGUCGGAGUCGCUAGUAAUCGCAGAUCAGCAACGCUGCGGUGAAUACGUUCCCGGGUCUU
rnacentral:rRNA from 1 species